GCCUAUGUAGUUUAUACUAAAACAGUGGUCUUGUAAACCACAAAAGGUUAUUUAACCCAAAGGCA
rnacentral:tRNA from 1 species